rnacentral:rRNA from 2 species
UGUAUAGCAAUUGCUAAUUGCACUAAAAAUUUUAGUGUAAAAUCGAUUUUCUCGAAUAAAAUUCUGGGUGGAAUUUUGAUAAUGACAAUGUCUAUCCAUUAGUCUUGACCAAAUUACGUGCCAGCAGUCGCGGUAAUACGUAGAAGACAAGUGUUAUUCAUCUUUAAUAGGUUUAAAGGGUACUUAGACGGUAAAUAAAGCCUCAAAAAGGGACUAAUUUGCUAGAGUUUUAUGUGAAGAAGUAUUAAAGUACUACUGGUGUAGAGAUGAAAUUCAGUUAUACCUUACAUGGCACAGGUUAAGGCGAAGGCAUCUUCUUAUGUAAAAACUGACGUUGAAGGACGAAGGCUUUGUGUAUCGAACAGGAUUAGAUACCCUAGUAGUCUAAGCAGACAAUGAUGAAUGUCAUAGAUUAGAUGUAAUUUGAUCUAUAAAUGAAAGUGUAAGCAUUCCACCUUAAGAGUAAUUUGGCAACAUUGGAACUGAAAUCAUUAGACCGUUUCUGAAACCAGUAGUGAAGUAUGUUGUUUAAUUUGAUAAUCCGCAAAAAACCUUACCACAAUUUGAAUAGAUAUAUUUUAUCAUACAAGCGUUGCACGGCUGUCUUCAGUUAAUGUCGUGAGAUUUUGGUUAGUUCCAUUAAAUUAACGUAAACCCUUACUCUAUUUUUAAAUAAAGUAGUUCACCGCUAUAUU